rnacentral:lncRNA from 1 species
AAAAUAUAUUAUUAAAAUUAAUUGUACUUGUUUGCUUUACUUUUUAAAAAAAUGUGGUACUAGAAAAUUAAAAAUUACAUUGUGGCUUACAUUAUAUUUCUAUUGGACAGUAGAAUUUGAAGCACCUGGCAAGAAGAUAAAAUAACUUUUCAUAAAGAUGGAGACUUGCCAUGAAUGAAACCAGGCAACUUGUGGAAGAAAUCCUUGUAACAAAAUCCUCACCUCUGUUGAGAAGUUGCAUUGGAAAGACCAUUUGGGGCCCUGGUGGUCAGAAUUCUAAAAUCAAGUUGUCAGCAGGGAUGGGUCCUUCUGGAGGUUCAGGUGAGAAUCCUUUUCCCUGCCUUUUUUAGUUUCUAGAGGCCGCCUGCCUUCCUUGGCUCAAGAUCCCCACCUCGCAUCACUCGGACCACUGCUUACUUCCAUUGUCACAACUCCUACUGUCUGAGCCUGUGUCUUCUUUCAUCCCUUAUAUAACGACACUCAUGAUUGUGCUGGGUCUACCCAGACCAUCAGGAUCUUUUUCCUCAAGAUCCUUGACUUGAUCAUAUCGGCAUAGUUCAUUCUACCAUAGGAAGUAGCAUUCACAGGUUCUAGGGAUGAGGACAUGGAUAUGUUUGGGAGGGACAUUAUUCUACCUAUGAUAGAAGACACAAGUGGAUUAUUUUAAAAAUAGGGAGCAAGUAUUCUUCAUGACUGGAUACUGGGGCUGGGGGUGGAGGCAGGGGUAGGUAUUGCAUUUACAUGCAGGAGCACCAAGGCAGACAGAAGCAGGAAGUGAGCUGCAGAGACAAGCAGAGCUCAUAGGCCCAGGGCUGCGACUCUCGAAAUCCUGGGACAAGUUUAAGUGUGAAUAGCUGGGGGUGGGGGAGGGGCACAGUGACCACCUGGGUUACAUGGAUGGAGAACUCAAUGAAUAUACAAAUUGGUAUCAGUGUUCUCUUCCUGGUGAGGGAAAAACCAAGCUGUCCCCUGCUUCCCUCCUCCAGGGGUUCAGGUGCUGGGCAUAGUCUCUUCUGUCCCAGGAGUUUAGAUAAGCACUCAGCCUGUGCUUGCACUUGGGGCCGGUCGGGGGGAGCCUCAGGGAGGUGAAGGCCAGGCAGAUGUGCACUUCCUGGGCAGCCUCCCCAGACAGCGGGAGGCCUGGGAAUUUGGGCCUAGAACAAAGCCUCUCUGCUGGGAGCACAAACAGGCUGCCAAGAAUGUCGCUCCACUGGUUCCUGCGCCUGCCCCUCAGAGCCCUGCCCUGGGCAAUGUGGAAGAGCAUCAACAGAAGGAGAAAAUCAAUCAAGCCCUGGAAAGCCAACCCCACUGGCACACGCAGCCCUCGUCCUCUCCACUCCUUCACAGCUCCUCAGAUAAUCUGCCCCAUUGGUUUCAGGCCUUUAUGCAUUUUGUUUGGUUUCUAGAGGUGGGUGGAUAUUCUGCAGAAGAAAAGGGAUUCAGAUAUACUGGGCGUUCAGCUGAAAUAAUCCUGUGGAAUAACCACUAUGACCCUCACUUUUGGAAGGAGGCUCAGAGAGGUUAGGCCACUUGCCCAUGGUCACACAGCACACAGGUCAUAGAGGAAAGACAAUUCUGGUCUCUGUGUGGCCUUCCCCAAACUCCAUGCUCUUCUCAGCUGACAGUUGCCUCCUUCCCUCUUUCAACCUGUUAGUGGACAUAGACUUGUGGAACAGGCCCAUUUCCUCCACCACUAAAUAAUGGGAAACACAACGGCUUAACUCAAAACAGGGUGGGGGUUGGGAACAAAGCCAUGCCAAGAUAUUUUAAGUCAAACUUCGCGAUAAACGGAAAUUUGAUAUUUCUGGAUAAUUCCCAAUGAGCACCCUUCCCCUUUAAUUAUCUUGUGGUCGCCCUUUCAGAGGUGAUUAAAGCUAUUCUUUAGUAGAUGUGGUUAUAGAUUGAGUGGGAACCUGGUCUUUCUUGUGGUUUUUAUCGUAGCAAUUAAAUCUGGCCAGCUCAUAGAAGCUGUGUGGCAGGAGGGGUUUUAUCAAGCAAAAUGAUUUUCCCCUUCGAGCAAUGUUAAAUUUAGGAAAAAUACAAUUAAUUAUACCAGACAGGUAUCUAUUAUACAUUGUGCAUGCAUUAGAGCUCCUGGGCUCGUUUCACUCAGAGAGGGAGGCUCUCUCCUCCUAGCCUGUGUGUGUCCCAGGCCAAAGCCCUUCACUGAGGGCUGGCGGGAAGCUUCCUGCCCCCUCCCACCCCUCAAUUCAACACCCACAACUCUUUGGAAGUAAAAAUGAAAGGACUUAUGUUUACCAGAACUUUCUCAAAUGCUAUCAAAGGUGUAUUUUGGUGUUUAUGUUGAUAAAUAAGGGUGUUCCCAAAUAGCAGAGAAAAAAACCUUUCACCUCUUAGAAGAAGAAAAAGACAAAAAAAAAUUCAUCUGACCUCUGCCCUCUACUCACUGUGACUCAGGUGGAUCCCCCCAAGAUCUUCGAGGCUCCUUUUUUCCCCUUCUGCAAAAUGAGAGGGUUAGACCAGAUAACUUCAAAAUCCUGCUCAGCUCAGAGCUAGGAAUGUAAACGAAGGCUCAGUGGCACGAAGUCCUGAUUCCUCGUUAAAAGACAUAAUUAAUAUUUUUUCUCAGGUGCUUGCUUUGUGUUCCUGAUGUUGAAAGGGGCUUGGGAUUCGUAUAUGAUUAUACUGUUUCCUUUUUGCUGGAAGCUUCAUUAGCGCUCAGAUAAAUUUAGGAAGAAGGAUUCUUAAACAUUAUUGAUAAGCUUCGCCCAUCUGUAUUGCCAGUGGGAGCUGGUGUUGAGCAUAUGCUCUGGAAGUAUUUGCUGAGAAACAAAAGGGUGACUUUUGAAGAUGUCAGUGAUUUGAUACCAUCUCCUAAACACCAAUGAAAUGUCAGACAUGUCCAUUACUCACUCAUGCGAUGCAGAUACAUUUUUAUAGAAUGCACAUGUCCAGCUGGUCCAUGGACUGGGUUUAUGAUGCAGCCAGCUUGGGUGCAAGGUCCCAAGUGCUUCCAUCUCUUUGUCUGAUCCUAGUCCCUUCUC